rnacentral:rRNA from 1 species
AGCAGCCGCGGUAAUUCCAGCUCCAAUAGCGUAUAUUAAAGUUGUUGCAGUUAAAAAGCUCGUAGUUGAAUUUCGGAAUUCAUCCGUCGGUCGGGCUUAACUGUCCGUACUGGUGUGAUGGGUUCCUACCUUCUGAAUAACCGGCAUGCCAUUAAUUUGGUGCGCCGGGGAAGCAGGACUGUUACCUUGAAAAAAUUAGAGUGCUUAAAGCAGGCUAUCGCCUGAAUACAUUAGCAUGGAAUAAUGAAAUAGGACGGCAUGGUUCUAUUUUGUUGGUUUCUAGGAUCACCGUAAUGAUUAAUAGGGAUAGUUGGGGGCAUUAGUAUUCAAUUGUCAGAGGUGAAAUUCUUGGAUUUAUUGAAGACUAACUUCUGCGAAAGCAUUUGCCAAGGAUGUUUUCAUUAAUCAAGAACGAAAGUUAGGGGAUCGAAGACGAUCAGAUACCGUCGU